GAUGAACGCUGGCGGCGUGCCUAACACAUGCAAGUCGAGCGAUUCUCUCCGGAGAAGAGCGGCGGACGGGUGAGUAACGCGUGGGUAACCUGCCCUGUACACACGGAUAACAUACCGAAAGGUAUGCUAAUACGAGAUAAUAUGCUUUUAUCGCAUGGUAGAAGUAUCAAAGCUUUUGCGGUACAGGAUGGACCCGCGUCUGAUUAGCUAGUUGGUAAGGUAACGGCUUACCAAGGCGACGAUCAGUAGCCGGCCUGAGAGGGUGGACGGCCACACUGGAACUGAGACACGGUCCAGACUCCUACGGGAGGCAGCAGUGGGGAAUAUUGCACAAUGGAGGGAACUCUGAUGCAGCGACGCCGCGUGAGUGAAGAAGGUCUUCGGAUCGUAAAACUCUGUCCUUGGUGAAGAAAAGGACGGUAGCCAAGGAGGAAGCCCCGGCUAACUACGUGCCAGCAGCCGCCGUAAGAC
rnacentral:rRNA from 1 species